rnacentral:rRNA from 1 species
UACGGGGGGAGCAAGCGUUGUUCGGAUUUACUGGGCGUAAAGGGCGCGUAGGCGGUCAGCACAAGUCAGUUGUGAAAUCUCCGUGCUUAACUCGGAAAGGUCAACUGAUACUGUGCGACUAGAGUGCGGAAGGGGCAACUGGAAUUCUCGGUGUAGCGGUGAAAUGCGUAGAUAUCGAGAGGAACACCUGCGGCGAAGGCGGGUUGCUGGGCCGACACUGACGCUGAUGCGCGAAAGCCAGGGGAGCGAACGGG